rnacentral:rRNA from 1 species
GUAGGUGGCAAGCGUUGUCCGGAAUUAUUGGGCGUAAAGCGCGCGCAGGCGGUUCUUUAAGUCUGAUGUGAAAGCCCACGGCUCAACCGUGGAGGGUCAUUGGAAACUGGAGAACUUGAGUACAGAAGAGGAAAGCGGAAUUCCACGUGUAGCGGUGAAAUGCGUAGAGAUGUGGAGGAACACCAGUGGCGAAGGCGGCUUUCUGGUCUGUAACUGACGCUGAGGCGCGAAAGCGUGGGGAGCAAACAGGGAUUAGAUACCCUGGUAGUCCACGCCGUAAACGAUGAGUGCUAAGUGUUAGGGGGUUUCCGCCCCCUUAGUGCUGCAGCUAACGCGUUAAGCACUCCGCCUGGGGAGUACGGCCGCAAGGCUG